ACUGUCUGAGCUACAAGAGUCUAUAUUUGCCCUGGAACUCACCGUGCUUGGAAUUUGGAACCAAACUAAGUCAGAAAUUUCAGAAAAGAAGCUACUCCAGCAAGAUCUACAUUGUGUUUCUCUUUGAAAAUUCAGAGGCUAGACCUCAACACAACACCCCUGAGAGACAGCAGCUGACUCCUUCACCACAGGGAGAGGUCCAAGGCCACUCAUGAGCACGCGUGAUGCUGCUCAGCAAAACCCACCGAAGCUUGGAGAAGUUUGGCAUCCACAGUUCGGUGACAGCAGUGACCCCAGCUUUUGGUACUGGAGGAACAGCUCUGGGAAGUGAGCAAGGAAUAUACUUCCAAAGUAGAUCCUGGCAUUGGGCAUUUGAUUAACUCUAAACUCCAGGACACACAUAAGAAUCCCAGCUGUGGGGACAAGACCGUGUGGUUAACUUGCUAGAAGGUAUAGCUAUAUUUAUUUUGGACUCAACAAUUCAUACUACGAGGAGAAUAUUGGACAUUCCCUUCACUGUUGUAGGCAUCUUACCACCAAACUGGAGGCAAUUCUUGACAAAUCACCACCCACCACCACCAUCUUCCGCCCCCUCUCAACUUCUGAACUGGUCUCCUAAUAACUGAGAUUCUACAGCAGUCUUCUUUGACACAUUUUUCCCUUCUCCCUUAACUUAAUGAAGUAAGUAGUUUGUUUAUUUCCCCUUGGCAAAUCUUUACAUCCAAUUCCUUUCCCAUCCCCUGGCCACCACUGUAUUUUAGGCUUUUCAGUUGGAUUUAACUAUCAGUCUACAUACCAACCUCCAUGUUAGGUGUUAGAGAUAAAAGGAAAUCCAAGAUUUAGGCCUUCUGAUCACACUGUCAUUGUGUUUUGGGCAACACAUAAAGCUGUGGAAAACUGCAUUGUUUUGGUAAAAUUGACUCUGAAUGUGUUGCCUGAAAAGUUUUUGUUUGUGCUUGGUCUGGCUUUAUUUUUUCUACAAUCAAUACUUUGAUGGGAUGCUGCCUGCUAUCUGUACACCUUUUCUCAAGGAAGUACCCAACAAAAGUCAAC